rnacentral:lncRNA from 1 species
GCAAGUCUUGGGCCUGAGCCCAAAGCUGGUGUGGAGUUUGAACCCUUGGCAUUCUGGCCGAGGGCCAAGUGCUAUCAAUGGAACCCCACUGACACCUUUAGUUAUUCUUCCUAGAUUAGGAUAGUAAUUUACUUGUCUCUUUGAUUUCGAGUGUCUGGUUUUGUUUCCAGAUGCCUCCCAGCUCAUCUGUAUUCCAGGGGUUUCAAAAGACUUUAACCUCAUUGGAAUAAAUAAAAGGCAUAUUCACUUUCAGAAUAUCAGCUAUUAUACCAGAGCAAGUCAGGAUGGAGUAUAAGAGGUGAUGCAUAGGACAAUGUAGUGAAAAAUGUCAUUAGAUAGAUUCAUGCAUAAAAGCCCUCCAACUAGCAGUGAUCUCAAACUCCCCCAAACGAUCGCAAUAUAUGAAAGAGAUGGAGAGACCAUAGAAAUUUUAUCCCAAUGCCAAUAAGGUAACAGCAUUUGGAUUUUAACAUGCUAUGGUAGGAAAAGGCAUUUAUGCAGGGGUGUCAUUUCAUGUUUACAAGGGCCUGUCUAGAACUGUUUAUUGAUUUUACUGCAGUUCUUUCCCCAGGACCCUGUAGAUAGAUAAUUGCUAGAAAUGUCCAUCAUUAACAGAGCAACGGGUGCAACCAUCACACUAGGAAAAAGAUACACAUAGGACCGUGUUAGCAGGCGUCAAAUGGGGCCGGGGGUGGGGGAGUGGCGGGGGAAGAGUCACACAAUAACACGUGCAGCCAUAACUCCAGGAAAACACACACACACAACACCCUGUGUAGCCAUUGCACUGAGAAAAUACACACAGCCCCCUGUGCAGCCAUCACACAUCAGGAAAAUACACACAUGACACCCCUGUGCAACCAUCACACCAGGCAAAAGCACAGACAUAAAAUGCUAAGUCAAUAGGAAUGAACAGCUCAUAAAAGCCUACUGGAAUAGAUCACAUCACAGCCAGGUACAUCUGUUCUCAGUACUAACCAUUAUCGUUAGCUUAAAAUGCUUAAAAUCACUGUGCAUCCUCAGGUCUAGGGACAGAUUAUUCCAAGAAGAUUCUGCUAAAUAGAUUUGGCAAUGCAGUGAAAGGGACCUCUACUACAUUAAAGUGAGGCAUUUUGCAUCUCAAAGGCCGUCAACUAUAUUUAGAGGAACUGUGUGAUUGAAGAACAAUGCUCCAGGAUGGGAGAGCAAUUUUUCUGGCCCUUCUAAAUCUGGGGGUAAUUCUGACCCCAACUUGAGUUAAGUGUACAACUGAAUGAGCAGCUAUCAGAUUGGGAGGUAACUAAUAAAAGCAGAACUGGAAACAGCUUUCAUCUGUGCUACAAAGUCAGCUACUCCAUCCUGUUUGAAAUUAGAACUCUCAGGUGGGAUGUCAUAUCUACAGGUCUUAGUAAGGUCAGACUUCAAGCCAUCAACUUGAGAUAAAUAAGUAGUAACUACAAUCCUUGCUUCAUAGGGUUGUCUGCCCAACUGGGGGGAAUAAAGGAACCACCCACCUCUCCUUUUGCCAGUGCCUUCUCUUUAUCCUCUCGCCUUGGUCUGUGAUGUUAUCCUAACUGUGUGACAUGGGGUCAUGGCACCAUGAGGGAUACGGCAUGUCCUUCUGAAGAGUGGCCCAAAAAAAUAGUUAGAAAGAGUUUCAAGCUUGCAGUUCCAUGUUUCAGUUACAGUUAUGUGUUUCUACUCGGUGAGACACGUUUCAAGCUAGCUUGUUAAGAAUGAUUUACACCAUAAUUCUAGGAAAAAAACAAAUCUGAGUGACUGAGAUUUGAAAGGGAAGAGUAGGGGGGAAGUGCCAGACUAAACGAAUCCUAAGUAAAUAGGGUGGGGUUGGGUCUUUUUUUUUAGUGUUUUUUGUUUGUUUGGUUUUUGCUUUUUUUUUUUUUUUUAAACAAAAAAGAAAAUGUAGAUAUUGUUGGUGAGUACGUCUCUCACCUGGGUGAAAUAAAGCAAAAGAAGACAGAAUCGCUCCAUUUGCUCCAUGUGAAAGCAAAUUUUCAGGAGAGGACAGGUGUUUCUCUUAAAUUUGUAAGAUAGCUUCUUACUGGGAAUGAGCGAUGCUGGAGAUAAGAACUAAGAAUUCCACAUUUUUUCCAAAUGUGGCAGAAAAGGUUUUGUUAGGGUGAGAUAAGCAUAUUCCAUAAAACAAUGCACUAGUGACAUGAGGUAAUUACAUGGUGACUAGGACACACUGCGUGGCAUACUGGAGAAAUGGUGUGAUACCUACCUGAUAGCUGUAGUAACUCUCGUUAUCACUGCCUUAUUAUCUCCUGAUAACUAUAUAAUUAGUUUGUGUCACCAAAGCACCCUAAACGUAUGCCUGUUCCAGCUACCCUGGUAGAAAAAAAAAAAUAAACUUUUUUGCAAGGGGGAAAAAAAGCUAAUGAAGAAAGUUGCCAAGAACAGAUAUUUUGUAAUCUGUGCUAAAUCUCUGCUGGAAAACAUGAACAGUAACGAAGCUGAGAAGACAGUAAAAGAAAUUCGGGGCAAGGUGCCAGACGCCCAGACGGAAGGAGAAUGUGGACCAAAAGAUUGCGACAAUCGGGUAAUUAUGGUUUAUGAAUUUCAGCUUUAAUCUGUAGUUCAGUGAGUCCUGAUUAAAUAUCUGUUAAACACAAUUAAAGUUUGUUUUUGUAUUUCACCGUCUUGAUCAGAAUAAUUAGAGACUGCGUGUUUCAUGUCAAAAGUAGCAAGAGGAAUUUUAGUGAAUGAACAUCGUUUUUAAAAGCCAUUUGUAGCACCAGCUGUUGGCAUUAUUUUAUAUUUUAGUGUUAUCAGCAUAAAGAUGGUCCUCUGGAUGCUGAGUAGUUUCUAACAGGACAAGGAUGUUAUGCUGUCAUGAUGGGCCUGUGCUGAUGAGGCUUAAAUGUUUAAGGGCUAAUGUUCACUGAGAUAGUGGACAGGAAGACGCAGGGCAGGGAGGCACGUGUUUUAGGGGAGAGAAGAAGGAGCACAUUUGAGUUAAGUUUAUCCAUGCAAGGAUCUGAGGGAGGAGAUGGUUCAUCGUAUAGUCAUUUGUGUUAACACCUGCAAAUGCUGGUUACCUUAUUCAGACAGGUUGUAUAUAGUGCUGAGGGGUAGGCACAAGAAAAGUGUGGGAAGUGCCGGAAUCUGUCCUGUUUGGUUUUUGGCCAAAAAUAUGUGUCUUUUGGGAGUUCCCGUCGUGGUUCAGUGGUUAACAAACCCGACUAGGAGCCAUGAGGUUGCGGGUUCGAUCCCUGGCCUUGCUCAGUGGGUUAAGGAUCUGGCGUUGCCCUGAGCUGUGGUGUAGGUUGCAGACGUGGUUUGGAUCUCACAUUGCUGUGGCUCUGGUGUAGCCAGUGGCUACAGCUCCAAUUGGACCCCUAGCCUGGGAACCUCCAUAUGCCACAGGAGCGGCCCUAGAAAAGGCAAAAAGACAAAAAAAAAAAAAGAUAGCAGUAUGAAUUCUGCAGAAAGAACAGGUGGGAAUGUAAGUAGGAUCAACUGAGACUGGGUAAAGACGUAAAGUAAGAUUCAACAAACCAAAUCUAAGACUGUGAUUUUUGUACACAUGUGCCAAAAGUGAGACUAGAGAGUUGUAAGUUAUUAUCUCUCUAAAAACUAUAAGAGGAUGUAUGUAAAUUUUUCUAUGCAGCUUUAAAGAAAUAAUAUGAUACUUUCUUGCUUGCUAUUUGAAAUUUGAAAACCUGGUUAUUUUGGACCCAGUGAUAGACAGAGGAAUGCCCCCCUCCCCCAAAGGGGUCCACAUCCUAAUCCUCAGAACCUAUGACUACAUUGCCUUACAUGGCAAAAGAGACCUUGUAAACGUGAGCAAAUUAGGUUCUUGACAAGGAGAGAUAACCCUGAAUUAUCUGGGUAGUCCUAAUGUAAUCUCAAGGAUUUUUGUAAAGGAAAGAAGGGGGUGGGAGAGUCAGGGUCAGAAAAGGAGAUGUGACAAAGGAAGCGGAAUUGAGAGAGAGAGAUUGAUUUAGAGAUGUUAGACCGCUGGAUCUGAAGACAGGAAGGAACCAGGUGCCAAGGAAUACAGGUUGCCUCUAGAAGCUGGAACAGAAAAGGAGAGGGGUCCUCUAAUAGAAUCUCUAGAGAUGCAGCCUUGAUUUAGGGAUUUCUGACCUCCAGAAGUAUGUUUAAGCCAUUAAGUUUGUGGCAGUUUUGUUACAGCAGCUAUAAGAAAUCAAUACAUUCCCUAUGAACUUGCUCCAUGGAUUUGAUACCCAUUUAAAAAUUGUCCAAGAGUUCCUGCUAUGGCACAGUGGGUAAAGAAUCCAACUGUAGCCACUCUGGUCAGUGUGGAGGUGCCCAAGCACAGUGUGUUAAAGGAUUCAGCAUUGCCACAGCUCUGGUGUAGGUCACAGCUGUGGCUCAGAUUCAACCCCUGGCCUGGGAAUUUACAUAUGCUAAAGGUGCCGCCAUUAAAAAGUUAAUUAAUUUAAAAAUAAAAAUUGUCCAGUUAAAAGUGUCUGGGUAUGAGAAAAAUAAGCUUCUAUGAAUUUAAUGUUCUAAGACCCAUUCUCCAGGCUGUCUCUAUAGAAUAAUUUUGUGAUGCCCAGUUUGGUAAGAAUUAGGAAAACCUAUGUAUUACAAACUAAAAUCAUGGGCAUAUUCAGCCCCAUCCCCCAGCACCAUUUACUAGCAGUACAAUCCAAAUGAAUAGAAAUGUUUACCAGAAGGGAGAAUUAAAAGGUGAGAAUAAUUUAUCUAAUAAUAAUAGCAGUUAACAUUUGAACCACUUGUUGAACCAUUUCACUUUGCCAAUAUUCAACCAUUUUGACUUACAGAAAUGGCAAUUUCAUGUGGUUCAACAGACCCAGUGUUAUUUCAUUUGAACCUUCUAGAACUUAGAUUAAACUCUCCCUAAGAAUUUAUAAUUAAUAACUAUCAGUUAUAGAAUAUAUAGAAUUUAGGCUAAUAAAAUGCUUAUAUCUAACAUAUUCAGGUAAAAAUGAGAUCUAGUCCCAGCUAUUUAAAGGUAUUUUAGUAGAGUUGAGGAUGCAGGCAUGUAUCACACAUACUAUUCUAAAAAGUGACAGUCUAAGAUUCAUGGGAAAGCUGUAGGGCAAAGUCAGCUUUACCCUAAUAGAGACAAUGACUGGGGAGGGGGGGACUACAAACAAAACUUCACAUAAAGACAAUGACUGAAAAUUGAUAACCUAGCAUCUUUGUAUUCAAAAGAGCAUAUACUACCACAGAAGAAGAUGGGAGAGCCUAGCUCUUUAGAAUGGAAUUGCUUGAAAUGAUUCUGAGCAGCCUCAGGUUAAUGGCCUCCAUUGACAUUCUGAUGAAAGCUGUGGGCCCUCUCCUCAAAAAAGGACAUAAUAACUUUUCAGAGGGUUCACAGGACCCCUAAAGCCUGAUUAGUGGUGCACUCAGACUAGUUGCCCCUGGUUUACAAUUGUGUCUUAAGUAAAACACUGUAGGGCUAACUCGUCCAACAAUGAUUUGGGACCAGAAUUGUGAAAUCAUUAUUUGUCACAUGAUUUUAAAGCAGCCAUUAAUAUACAUUGAGGCCUAGUCUUUUAAUUAGUACCACUAGUAGUUUUGACGCUAAUGAGCUAGGUAAGUACAUUUUUAUUUUUGAAGCAUUUGACGUGCAUUUAAAGAACUGCUGGGAUGAAAAGCAUGUAUAUCACCCUUGUUUACUCAUCAUUCUGUUAUUGUUUGGUCAUUCUUUGAUUCAUUCAUUCUGCAAAUAUGUGUUGGGCUCUGAGAAUAUCACAAUGAGCAGGACUCAACAUGGUCUUCUUUCCUCUUGGAACAGUCUUGUUAAAGGAGAUAGUUAAUAAAUCUGUAAACUUACUCUUGUUGCCAGAAUCCAGGUUCUUAUUCAUGGAGUCGAAGAAUGAACCUUGCAAACACACACAUGGGCAGCAAGCAAGCAAAGGACUUUGUUAUAGAAAAGCAAAGAGCUCUGGGCAUGAACACUGAGAGGGGAAAGAGGAAUUCCCCCUUCCUGUUGUUCUAUGGAGGUUUUUUAUUUUUCAAGGAUGGGGGUACCAAUGUGGGGUCCAGACAUCAUUCCUUUUUCCCAUUGGCCUUGUCUAGCCACCUGUAUCAGGCCUUAUCCAAUAGGGGUCUUAGUGAUGGUAUGCCCCAUAAAUUUUAUGGCUACUUUGUUCUUCUUCCCCUGAGACUGGGAGUCACCAUUCCUCUCCUUUCUUCCCUAUCAGUCCAAGGGGUGGGUUAGAGAUUAACAUCCACCUAGACGUAAAGCAAAUGUACUUUCUAUAGAAAACAGGAUCUGAGAAUGUUUGUUAUUUCCUGGAACCUCCCAAAUCAUAGAUAUUAAUCAACAACUAUAUCAAAGAAUACAUCGAGGGAGUUCCCGUUGUGGCACAGCAAACAAAUCCGACUAGUAACCAUGAGGUUGCAGGUUUGAUCCCUGGCCUCAAUCAGUGGGUUAAAGACCUGGCAUUCCCCGUGAGCUGUGGGGUUGCAGACACAGCUCGGAUCUGGCAUUGCUAUGGCUGUGGUGUAGGCCACCAGUUAUAAGUCCAAUUAGUUCCCUAGCCUGGGAACCUCCAUAUGCCACUAGUGCAGCCCUAAAAAG